ACCUGGCUGGCUCAGUCAGUAGAGCAUGUGAUUCUUAAUCUCAAGGUCAUGAGUUCAAGCUCCACGUUGGGCA
rnacentral:tRNA from 1 species